UAAGACCUCGCGUUAUUGGAGCGGCCGAUAUCUGGUUAGCUAGUUGGUGGGGUAAGAGCCUACCAAGGCGACGAUCAGUAGCUGGUCUGAGAGGACGACCAGCCACACUGGGACUGAGACACGGCCCAGACUCCUACGGGAGGCAGCAGUGGGGAAUUUUGGACAAUGGGCGAAAGCCUGAUCCAGCCAUGCCGCGUGAGUGAAGAAGGCCUUCGGGUUGUAAAGCUCUUUCGCAAGGAAAGAAAUCCUAUCCACUAAUACUGGGUGGGGAUGACGGUACCUUGAUAAGAAGCACCGGCUAACUACGUGCCAGCAGCCGCGGUAAUACGUAGGGUGCGAGCGUUAAUCGGAAUUACUGGGCGUAAAGCGAGCGCAGGCGGUUUUGUAAGUCAGAUGUGAAAUCCCCGGGCUCAACCUGGGAACU
rnacentral:rRNA from 1 species